UACGGGGGGUGCGAGCGUUGUCCGGAAUCACUGGGCGUAAAGGGCGCGUAGGUGGUUUGAUAAGGGUGUGGUGAAAGUCCGGGGCUCAACCCCGGAUCUGCCGUGCCGACUGUCAAACUCGAGGGCUGUAGAGGCAGACGGAAUUCCGGGUGUAGCGGUGGAAUGCGUAGAGAUCCGGAGGAACACCAGUGGCGAAGGCGGCUAACUGGUCCAGAUCUGACGCUGAGGUGCGAAAGCGUGGGGAGCAAACAGG
rnacentral:rRNA from 1 species